rnacentral:rRNA from 1 species
UACGAAGGGGGGCUAGCGUUGCUCGGAAUCACUGGGCGUAAAGCGCACGUAGGCGGAUUGCUAAGUCAGGGGUGAAAUCCUGGAGCUCAACUCCAGAACUGCCCUUGAUACUGGCGGUCUCGAGUCCGGGAGAGGUGAGUGGAACUGCGAGUGUAGAGGUGAAAUUCGUAGAUAUUCGCAAGAACACCAGUGGCGAAGGCGGCUCACUGGGCCCGG